UGCGUGACCAACCUGCCCCAUGCUCCAGAAUAGCUCUUGGAAACGGGUGGUAAUGCUGGAUGCUCCAACUUGACGCAUGUCUUGUUGGGAAAGUGUUUAGUGGCAUGGGAUGGGGUCGCGUCCUAUCAGCUUGUAGGCGGGGUAAUGGCCCACCUAGGCUUCGACGGGUAGCCGGCCUGAGAGGGCGGACGGCCACAUUGGGACUGAGAUACGGCCCAGACUCCUACGGGAGGCAGCAGAC
rnacentral:rRNA from 1 species